rnacentral:lncRNA from 1 species
UGAGGACACAGCAAGAAAGUGGCCAUCUGCAAGCGCAAAAGACAGGCCUCAGAAGAACCCAACCCUAUUGACACUAUGAUCUUGGACAUCCAGCCUCCAGAACUGAGCCAAAAUCAUGCAGCUUCAUGUCUCCUUAAUGGACAGAAGACUACACUGUUUUUGCUGCACCCAGAGAUAAAAUUAUUGGUUUUGGAGUACCUUCACUGAUGCCAGGGGUGUCAUCUUUACCUUCCAUCACAUAAUAUAUAUAAAGAGAAUUUUUCUUAGCUUUAAAUGAGUUGAUAAGAGGACAAGAAGAAAGUCAAGGACUCCAUUUCCAGGAUUAAAAGUGGUUUUUUUCUUUGUCUUCCAAAUCCUAGCAGUAGAAGCAUUUGAGUUCUGCAGAAAUUACUGAAGUGGUUCAAGUGUGGGCAGUCAGGACACUCAGCCCACCAUACUCAACCCCAACUCAACCUCAACUCUCAGUACGGCAGAGAGGUGGAGAACUCAGAGCUAUAACUUUCAGGAAUUCUCAAAACCUCAGACCAAAUGCAUCUUUGUUUUACCACCUGUUAAAGUAUAUCCUCAUCUGCCUCAGUGCACUUAAGUAUACAACACUGCAGAUUGUGUUUAACUUCAUUUGCAAUUAAUUUAACGCAUUUUGUAUCCAACAUUUCUACUAGGAAAUAGUAUUAGUCUAUCCCCAAACUAAAAUUCACUGCAAAAAUGUAAUUCACUCAAGAAAAAUAAUGAUAAUUCUUCAAACACCUUGAGAUGUCAUUCAACAAUCAUACCCAAUGGGUAAAAUUUAG